AUGUUCAGAGAAUUAUCUAUGGGAGUUGUUAGUGCAGAUUUUCAUCAAUGGUUCAUUCUUAUCAAGAACAUCUUGGUCCGAUCACUAUACUGGCUUCAAAUUAUGAAGAAUUUAGUUGCUACGGGAGAGACAUGUUGUGGGACUGAGGAGUUGGAUCUGAUGCCUGUACAUAAGUAUAUGAGGAUACUAGUGAAAUUGAAGUCGUGGCCUUCUUGGGAAAUCAAUUAUUUUUGCGACACCAUGGCUUUCUUUCGGUGGUCGUUUCUUCAGAAUGCAUUGUCAUCAAUAUUUUCUGCCACUACAUCAAAUGUGCUGCACUCAACGAGUCGUAUCUCAAAUUCUCUUAGGAGUAUCAUUAUUGUCACUGCUCUGCGCAAUUCUAGUGCGAUGUGGUGCUUGGGUGUUGUGCUCGGUAGGCUUAAGAAAUGGUGGCCUCAUACUCGAUGUGUUCAUACAGCCAGUGCACAUUUUGAAGCUCACAACCAGUUCCUUAACACAAGUGUGGUAUUCAAUACAGAGCUUUAUUGGGAAACUGAACUUCUGUCUACAGAACUCAUGUCCAGUUGGUACACUAAACUGAAGAUUUUUGAAUGGAAUAGUAAUAUAGUGCAGCCAGUCCAGCUUGACUAUCUUCUACUACUGACUAAACGUCCUGAUCGUAGCGAAGUACAUCAAACUAUGCUCAGUUGUCACCAGUUUAGUAUAAGAGGAGUUAAAGGUAUCUUCCAUGAAAUUCCACCCACUCAAUUAGUGUUCAACCGCUACUGUUUCGUGUUUGGUAGUACAACUGAAGAUCCUUGCGGUAUAAUGAUUAACAGUCAAUGGUGGAUAUUACUAAUGACAAUGCAUAGUUUGAUGAGAGGCCAGUUCACUUAUGCCGGAGAUCCGUUGCCUAAAAUACUGGAGAGAUAUGUACGAAGUCAUGGGAAAAUAGUUGUAAUAUUCUCAUGUCCAUGCUCAGAACAGAGUGAUAGGCUGGAAGAAAGCGUUGCAGUCCUAACUUUCUUGAGUAUUAUAUUGGGUAAUGAGAAAAAGCAUCAUCAAGUGGGAAAGAAACCUCAUGGAACUAUGGUGAUACAUACACAAGAUAGCGCGCUCCGGGUGCUUACUAAUCCUCCAUUCGCUUACAAGAAUAACAGUUUGACAGUUUGCUGCACUGGUGGAGCAAUGAGUAAAAAUCAAGUGUUAUGCAAGCCAACAAAUGAAGAGCAAUCAGAUAGUGUGUUACGAGUACAUAUUUUGUCUGCUUCGAGUUAUCUUGGUCAGCAAUCUGAGUUUGCUUCUGCAACACCGUGGGAUUAUAGAAUAAUCAUGGUCCAUAUUUGCCUGGUAACACUUCAAAUUAGUGAUAUACUAUACAUUCCUGGUGCUGCUUCAGUGAAUAGUGUUCACGAUUAUUUGGACUAUAUUGUUCUAGCCAUGAUUGCUACUGUCCGGAGAGCAAGUAUCAACAUGCAGAUAUUUGAUACCAUGAAUAUCUGGACUUCCCUAGAGUUGCCUUGUUGGAUAUGUCAUUGUUUGGACCCGAUGCUUCUCGGUGGUAACCAACAAAACCUGGGCUUCGAAGGUUACUUCCUUGGAGAUGAUGUUGCUGAUGGUCCAAGUUUUUAUGCUACGGUUGCUAUUGAAUAUUGGUUAGCAACUUUUAUCCUACCAGUGCAAACACCAUGGGAUCCUGGUGGUUCUGCUCCUCCUUGGUACCACAGUCAUCGGCUUGAGGACAAGCCGCACUUUAAGGGGGCGAGAAUGUCAUGCCCGAGUGGUCAUGCUGCUGUGCUCUCAUUGGGCUUUACUUCGGAAGGGGCUGUGGUGCUUGGGCUUGGCCCAACUACAGGAGUCGAGGUCGCCGGUUAUAAACGAAGAGAGCAGCACAUGGGAAAGGCAUCGAACUGA
rnacentral:rRNA from 1 species